rnacentral:rRNA from 2 species
CGAACGCUGGCGGCGUGCCUAAUACAUGCAAGUCGAACGAACUCUGGUAUUGAUUGGUGCUUGCAUCAUGAUUUACAUUUGAGUGAGUGGCGAACUGGUGAGUAACACGUGGGAAACCUGCCCAGAAGCGGGGGAUAACACCUGGAAACAGAUGCUAAUACCGCAUAACAACUUGGACCGCAUGGUCCGAGUUUGAAAGAUGGCUUCGGCUAUCACUUUUGGAUGGUCCCGCGGCGUAUUAGCUAGAUGGUGGGGUAACGGCUCACCAUGGCAAUGAUACGUAGCCGACCUGAGAGGGUAAUCGGCCACAUUGGGACUGAGACACGGCCCAAACUCCUACGGGAGGCAGCAGUAGGGAAUCUUCCACAAUGGACGAAAGUCUGAUGGAGCAACGCCGCGUGAGUGAAGAAGGGUUUCGGCUCGUAAAACUCUGUUGUUAAAGAAGAACAUAUCUGAGAGUAACUGUUCAGGUAUUGACGGUAUUUAACCAGAAAGCCACGGCUAACUACGUGCCAGCAGCCGCGGUAAUACGUAGGUGGCAAGCGUUGUCCGGAUUUAUUGGGCGUAAAGCGAGCGCAGGCGGUUUUUUAAGUCUGAUGUGAAAGCCUUCGGCUCAACCGAAGAAGUGCAUCGGAAACUGGGAAACUUGAGUGCAGAAGAGGACAGUGGAACUCCAUGUGUAGCGGUGAAAUGCGUAGAUAUAUGGAAGAACACCAGUGGCGAAGGCGGCUGUCUGGUCUGUAACUGACGCUGAGGCUCGAAAGUAUGGGUAGCAAACAGGAUUAGAUACCCUGGUAGUCCAUACCGUAAACGAUGAAUGCUAAGUGUUGGAGGGUUUCCGCCCUUCAGUGCUGCAGCUAACGCAUUAAGCAUUCCGCCUGGGGAGUACGGCCGCAAGGCUGAAACUCAAAGGAAUUGACGGGGGCCCGCACAAGCGGUGGAGCAUGUGGUUUAAUUCGAAGCUACGCGAAGAACCUUACCAGGUCUUGACAUACUAUGCAAAUCUAAGAGAUUAGACGUUCCCUUCGGGGACAUGGAUACAGGUGGUGCAUGGUUGUCGUCAGCUCGUGUCGUGAGAUGUUGGGUUAAGUCCCGCAACGAGCGCAACCCUUAUUAUCAGUUGCCAGCAUUAAGUUGGGCACUCUGGUGAGACUGCCGGUGACAAACCGGAGGAAGGUGGGGAUGACGUCAAAUCAUCAUGCCCCUUAUGACCUGGGCUACACACGUGCUACAAUGGAUGGUACAACGAGUUGCGAACUCGCGAGAGUAAGCUAAUCUCUUAAAGCCAUUCUCAGUUCGGAUUGUAGGCUGCAACUCGCCUACAUGAAGUCGGAAUCGCUAGUAAUCGCGGAUCAGCAUGCCGCGGUGAAUACGUUCCCGGGCCUUGUACACACCGCCCGUCACACCAUGAGAGUUUGUAACACCCAAAGUCGGUGGGGUAACCUUUUAGGAACCAGCCGCCUAAGGUGGGACAGAUGAUUAGGGUGAAGUCGUACAGGGAAA